rnacentral:rRNA from 1 species
AUUGAACGCUGGCGGCAUGCCUUACACAUGCAAGUCGAACGGCAACGCGGGGCAACCCUGCGACGAGUGGCGAACGGGUGAGUAAUACAUCGGAACGUGUCCUGUUGUGGGGGAUAACCCAUCGAAAGGUGAGCUAAUACCGCAUGAUCUGGAGACAGCAAAAGCAGGGGACCGGAAACGGCCUUGCGCGAUUGGAGCGGCCGAUGUCCGAUUAGCUAGUUGGCGGGU